GACAGAGGUGCCAAGCGUUAGGCGGAAUCACUGGGCUUAAAGCGUGUGUAGGCGGGCGGGCAAGUACCUUGUGAAAUCCCACGGCUCAACCGUGGAACUGCUGGGUAUACUGCCUGUCUUGAGCCAGCCAGGGGCAGUCGGAACAGACGGUGGAGCGGUGAAAUGCGUAGAUAUCGUCUGGAACGCCAAAGGUGAAAACAGACUGCUGGGGCUGUGCUGACGCUGAGACACGAAAGCCAGGGGAGCGAACGGG
rnacentral:rRNA from 1 species